GAUGAACGCUGGCGGCGUGCCUAAUACAUGCAAGUCGAGCGAACGGACGAGAAGCUUGCUUCUCUGAUGUUAGCGGCGGACGGGUGAGUAACACGUGGAUAACCUACCUAUAAGACUGGGAUAACUUCGGGAAACCGGAGCUAAUACCGGAUAAUAUUUUGAACCGCAUGGUUCAAAAGUGAAAGACGGUCUUGCUGUCACUUAUAGAUGGAUCCGCGCUGCAUUAGCUAGUUGGCAAGGUAACGGCUUACCAAGGCAACGAUGCAUAGCCGACCUGAGAGGGUGAUCGGCCACACUGGAACUGAGACACGGUCCAGACUCCUACGGGAGGCAGCAGUAGGGAAUCUUCCGCAAUGGGCGAAAGCCUGACGGAGCAACGCCGCGUGAGUGAUGAAGGUCUUCGGAUCGUAAAACUCUGUUAUUAGGGAAGAACAUAUGUGUAAGUAACUGUGCACAUCUUGACGGUACCUAAUCAGAAAGCCGCGGCUAACUACGUG
rnacentral:rRNA from 1 species